rnacentral:misc_RNA from 1 species
AAAAAAUUGAAAAAAAAAAGAGGUUAAAAAUGGAAUCUACAAUAUCUUCAUCUUCAUCUCGAUCCGUAUCGCCUUCGUCUUCAUCUUCACCUAACUCACCACCACCACGGUCAGUGACAGUGGUGGUGGUGAGUCCUUGCGCCGCCUGUAAAAUAUUACGGCGGCGCUGUGCUGAGAAAUGUGUGUUGGCACCUUAUUUUCCUCCAAAUGAUCCUAUUAAGUUCACUACGGCUCAUCGUGUGUUUGGUGCUAGCAAUAUUAUUAAGUUUUUACAGGAAUUACCAGAAUCUCAAAGGGCAGAUGCUGUUAGCAGCAUGGUAUAUGAAGCAAAUGCAAGACUAAGAGAUCCAGUAUAUGGUUGUGCUGGUUCAAUUUGUCAAUUACAAAAGCAAGUUAGUGAUCUUCAAGCACAAUUAGCUAAAGCACAA